rnacentral:rRNA from 1 species
GAAGGUGUACUGUGAGGUAUGCUGGAGGUAUCAGAAGUGCGAAUGCUGACAUAAGUAACGAUAAAGCGGGUGAAAAGCCCGCUCGCCGGAAGACCAAGGGUUCCUGUCCAACGUUAAUCGGGGCAGGGUGAGUCGACCCCUAAGGCGAGGCCGAAAGGCGUAGUCGAUGGGAAACAGGUUAAUAUUCCUGUACUUGGUGUUACUGCGAAGGGGGGACGGAGAAGGCUAUGUUGGCCGGGCGACGGUUGUCCCGGUUUAAGCGUGUAGGCUGGUUUUCCAGGCAAAUCCGGAAAAUCAAGGCUGAGGCGUGAUGACGAGGCACUACGGUGCUGAAGCAACAAAUGCCCUGCUUCCAGGAAAAGCCUCUAAGCAUCAGGUAACAUCAAAUCGUACCCCAAACCGACACAGGUGGUCAGGUAGAGAAUACCAAGGCGCUUGAGAGAACUCGGGUGAAGGAACUAGGCAAAAUGGUGCCGUAACUUCGGGAGAAGGCACGCUGAUAUGUAGGUGAAGUCCCUUGCGGAUGGAGCUGAAAUCAGUCGAAGAUACCAGCUGGCUGCAACUGUUUAUUAAAAACACAGCACUGUGCAAACACGAAAGUGGACGUAUACGGUGUGACGCCUGCCCGGUGCCGGAAGGUUAAUUGAUGGGGUUAGCGGUAACGCGAAGCUCUUGAUCGAAGCCCCGGUAAACGGCGGCCGUAACUAUAACGGUCCUAAGGUAGCGAAAUUCCUUGUCGGGUAAGUUCCGACCUGCACGAAUGGCGUAAUGAUGGCCAGGCUGUCUCCACCCGAGACUCAGUGAAAUUGAACUCGCUGUGAAGAUGCAGUGUACCCGCGGCAAGACGGAAAGACCCCGUGAACCUUUACUAUAGCUUGACACUGAACAUUGAGCCUUGAUGUGUAGGAUAGGUGGGAGGCUUUGAAGUGUGGACGCCAGUCUGCAUGGAGCCGGCCUUGAAAUACCACCCUUUAAUGUUUGAUGUUCUAACGUUGGCCCCUGAUCGGGGUUGCGGACAGUGUCUGGUGGGUAGUUUGACUGGGGCGGUCUCCUCCUAAAGAGUAACGGAGGAGCACGAAGGUUGGCUAAUCCUGGUCGGACAUCAGGAGGUUAGUGCAAUGGCAUAAGCCAGCUUGACUGCGAGCGUGACGGCGCGAGCAGGUGCGAAAGCAGGUCAUAGUGAUCCGGUGGUUCUGAAUGGAAGGGCCAUCGCUCAACGGAUAAAAGGUACUCCGGGGAUAACAGGCUGAUACCGCCCAAGAGUUCAUAUCGACGGCGGUGUUUGGCACCUCGAUGUCGGCUCAUCACAUCCUGGGGCUGAAGUAGGUCCCAAGGGUAUGGCUGUUCGCCAUUUAAAGUGGUACGCGAGCUGGGUUUAGAACGUCGUGAGACAGUUCGGUCCCUAUCUGCCGUGGGCGCUGGAGAACUGAGGGGGGCUGCUCCUAGUACGAGAGGACCGGAGUGGACGCAUCACUGGUGUUCGGGUUGUCAUGCCAAUGGCACUGCCCGGUAGCUAAAUGCGGAAGAGAUAAGUGCUGAAAGCAUCUAAGCACGAAACUUGCCCC